rnacentral:misc_RNA from 1 species
AGUCCACUUAAGCCUUUUGCUUAGUAUUGGGAAUCUACUUUUUGCGGGAGCUACCCUGUAGCUACCGUUGUAGUUCCUCAAAGACAGCGGCGGAGUCGUGGUUUUGCUCUGAGCUUAGUAAUUUUUUUCUAGCUUUCGAGUUGCCACAACCCCCUUGCCGUAAAACACCCUUUAUUUUUUUAAUGG